GCCCGGGUGGCGGAACGGCAUACGCGGAGGUUUCAAAAACCUCUUCCGGCAACGGAAUGCGGGUUCGACUCCCGCCCCGGGCACCA
rnacentral:tRNA from 1 species